AUUUCUUCCUUUACACGUAUCAAUCGAUGAAGCGGAAUUUUGAGGUUAGUAGUUGCACCAUUGAAUGUUAGAAGACUUGGAUUAAUUGGUGGUGAUGAUAUUGAAGCUUACUGAUUUCAGAAACAAGAUGAAUAUGAAGUCUGCAGAGCAGCUGAGAAGAAAAGUCCAAUAGUGAAACAAAUAUGGAUGACAGCAGCUUGUGCAACCAUGAAAGAGUUAUGGCUUCAGAGAAAUGCAAAGUUAUUUGAGGAGAAGAAACCUACACUUAAUAGGUUUAAAAGCAUAAUUUUGCAGAUAGUGUAUGAAGGAGGUUACAGAAUGGAUGGUGUCAGUUGGAAGCACACAUAUGACAGUAGAUAUUACAAUUUUUUAAAAUUGGUGCUGAAUCUUGUCCUUCUCAUUAGUUUAUGUUAGUUUUUUGAUGUCAUUUUAUUUGUAAUGUCAGUUUAGUUGUCUGACUUUUAGCUUCUGUUUUGAGUCUGUCCUGUAAUUUAGCUGGCUUUGGCCUUUCAAUCAAAUAAAAAUGUGUGAUAUAGAAAAAAAAAAAAAAUAGUUAAGUUGUAGAUCAGAUUAUCUAUCGCAGGGAAAGUCUCUAGAGGAAUGCAAUUGGUGGUGGUGACUCUAUAGGCUGAAUGGAGAUGUAAUGGUUGUUGCAGGGUGUUGGAGUUGUAAUUGUAGUAUGAAGUAACAAUGAUAGUGGUGGAGGAAUUGACUGCAGUGAUGAUGUUGUGGUGUUGAAGUGCAUAGAAAACUAUUGAUGAUGUCGAGGUAAACUGGAUUGAAGACAACAUGGAAUGGUUGAUGCCGGGAAAUAUGUAUGGGCAGUAAUUUAGAUAAACGGCCGCUGGUGAGAGUAUGAACUAGAGGUUGCUGAUGCUGACCAAAGUAUGGAGUCGCUGUGACGGAUUUGAGGCAGUGAGACAAGAAGAAGGUGUCUACUGAUGUGUUGUUGUUGUUAGUGAUGCAGUUAUAAUUAUAUGAAUAUCUCGAAGAUAGAAUUCCAGAUGGUGGUAAUUGAAGUGAUUCAAGAAUUAGGUAGUGAUGUUAGUGUGUGUGUUAAGAUAUUUGAAAUGGGACUCUCAAGUGUAAUCUGGCUGUAUUGUUGCUGGUGUUGUUCCUUGCAGAUGAGAAUGUUAGUGUAGUAGAAUUGAUGAUAGAUGUUGAAGUGGUAGAUUAAGCUUGUUGUUGAAUUACAGGGUAUGGCUGUUUGCAUUUGUUUUUCA